rnacentral:rRNA from 1 species
GUCGGGGAUUUUAAUGAGAUCUUAUACUCCCACGAGAAGGAGGGCGGCGCACUGAGGCCAAUGCACAUGAUGCAAAAUUUCAGAGAUGCCCUUGUUGGUUGCGAAUUGGAGGACAUGGGUUGUAGUGGUGAUUUAUAUACUUGAAGGAGGAGGAGGCUUAUAGAACGCCUCGACAGAGUGGUAUGUAAUGGUUAGUUCCAUGGGCUUUUUCUGAGGCAAAGAUUAUUAGUACUGCACACACCAAGUCUGGUCACAAACCGAUAUUCAUUGAUAUGGAGGGAGAUGUAG